rnacentral:rRNA from 1 species
AAGGCGGCCCCCUGGACAAAGACUGACGNUCAGGUGNGAAAGCGUGGGGAGCAAACAGGAUUAGAUACNNGUUAGUNCCACGCCGUAAACGAUGUCGACUUGGAGGUUGUGCCCNNGAGGCGUGGCUUCNNGAGNUAACGCGUUAAGUCGACCGCCUGGGGAGUACGGCCGCANNGUUAAAACUCAAAUGAAUUGACGGGGGCCCGCACAAGCGGUGGAGCAUGUGGUUUAAUUCGAUGCAACGCGAAGAACCUUACCUGGUCUUGACAUCCACGGAAUUUGGCAGAGAUGCCUUAGUGCCUUCGGGAACCGUGAGACAGGUGCUGCAUGGCUGUCGUCAGCUCGUGUUGUGAAAUGUUGGGUUAAGUCCCGCAACGAGCGCAACCCUUAUCCUUUGUUGCCAGCGGUCCGGCCGGGAACUCAAAGGAGACUGCCAGUGAUAAACUGGAGGAAGGUGGGGAUGACGUCAAGUCNUCAUGGCCCUUACGACCAGGGCUACACACGUGCUACAAUGGCAUAUACAAAGAGAAGCGACCUCGCGAGAGCAAGCGGACCUCAUAAAGUAUGUCGUAGUCCGGAUUGGAGUCUGCAACUCGACUCCAUGAAGUCGGAAUCGCUAGUAAUCGUGGAUCAGAAUGCCACGGUGAAUACGUUCCCGGGCCUUGUACACACCGCCNCGUCACACCAUGGGAGUGGGNNGCAAAAGAAGUAGUNA